GUGACGUUCCCUACGCGGUCGGGCGUUGGGUUUCGCGGCGCUCGCCGCACUGGUUGUUCAGCACCUUCGGUCCGGUUGAGGUUGUCAAGUCGGACCAAACAGGUUGUUUCUCUGCAGUUUCCAACAUGGCAGGGAGGUUUAAUAGACAUGGAUAAGAAGUCCACUCACAGAAAUCCUGAAGAUGCCAGGGCUGGCAAAUAUGAAGGUAAACACAAACGAAAGAAAAGAAGAAAGCAAAACCAAAACCAGCACCGAUCCCGACAUAGAUCAGUGACGUCUUUUUCUUCAGAUGAUCCUAUGUUUCCUUCUUCCUCAUCAUCGUCUUCAGGAAGCCAGACAGAUUCAAGUAUUGAAGAUGCUGCCAAGGGAAAAAUUAAGAAGAAGAGAAGAGAGAAAACAAAUAAAUGGGAAAAAAGAAAGGACAAAAUAUGAAACACCAAGAAAAAGAGAAGGAAAAAAAGGAGGAAACAACCACAUAUGUCACCUUUCCAAGAGGGACUGAAACUGGGCUGACCCUUUUGAUUUCCAAGCUCAGCGUUUUGGUGUAAGGCGGCCAAAGAAGGAUGCGGAGCCCAGCACUGUGAAGCCUACAAAAACAUUGAUGCGCUGGCUUGGGGAUUUGAAUUUGAACAUCUUUCACACUAAGUUCAGACUCAUGAAACCAAUCUUCAGAUGCUCUGUAAACCACAUAAUAAAGAGUUUGGAAAUUAU
rnacentral:lncRNA from 10 species